CACAGCAACAUGCUUGCUGUGUAGUUAGGAAAGCUCAGUCAUGUGAUUUCAGGAUUUGGAGGUUUCACUAUGCUCUGGUUUUGCUCUGUGUUCAAGCUUUUAAUUCCUUUCCGUAGGCACCCUCUCUCCAUGCGUAGCUGAAGCAAAGCCAGUGCUUUGAUUUUACUGAAGACUGAAGCCCACUUAGUUUGCUGAGAAGUUGUGAGUGAGGUUGCUGCACUCACGUCCUCCUUGCCAAGCACACCCCUGGAGAGAGCAACAAACAGAAAAAAACCCAUAGUCUCCCAGCACAAGGAACCACAAGCUACAUAUCUUCAUGCUUGACCCAGAGCAAAAAUAUUGACAGCCAAAGCGUGUUUUGGCCUCGGCGUGGCUGCCUGUCUGCUCCGGGCUAUUUCAGUCUGAGAGCAUUCUGCAAGGCUGAGAAAAGAAGCUAAAGAUGAAAAGGGAACUGACUACCUGGUGUACUGCUGUGACAGGAGGCUGUGCUAUCACUGUUCAGAAGAUAUUGAAUACUGGAUCUACUUAAUGGGAUAUCUGCUGUCCAAGAACUUGAAUGUGUUAUGGACUACAGUCCAGCUACAUAGCUGUGGGUGUUUGACCUUUGGAUACUUGAGGAUUUCCUACCUGCUUUCCAUCUGCUGCCCUGAAAUAGGUCCUGCUAUGUCUGCUGUCCUCACAUGAAUGUCUUGGGUACUCUAGGGAUCCACUGCUAAUUGAAAUAACUAAUGUUUAGGAAUCUGAGGUGAGCACUUAAGUUACUGUCAUUAUUUGAG